rnacentral:rRNA from 1 species
CGGCAGCACGGGGUACUUGUUACCUGGUGGCGAGUGGCGAACGGGUGAGUAAUACAUCGGAACGUACCUUAUCGUGGGGGAUAACGCAGCGAAAGCUGUGCUAAUACCGCAUACGCCCUGAGGGGGAAAGCGGGGGAUCGAAAGACCUCGCGCGAUUAGAGCGGCCGAUGCCUGAUUAGCUUGUUGGUGGGGUAAAAGCCCACCAAGGCGACGAUCAGUAGCUGGUCUGAGAGGACGAUCAGCCACACUGGGACUGAGACACGGCCCAGACUCCUACGGGAGGCAGCAGUGGGGAAUUUUGGACAAUGGGGGAAACCCUGAUCCAGCAAUGCCGCGUGAGUGAA